UGUUCGGUAACAACAAUAUAUGUUUGAGGGAGCUGAAGUCGAAGUGUCAUGGUUUCAUACUUAAAAGUUCAAGGCUAAUCUCGUGCAUUAUUACUGCAAAUAACAUACGUGUGAAUAUGAGCAAGAGAAGAAAUUUGAGUUUUACUUAUGCAAAUUUACAGGGCCCAGUUUCGCCCUAAAUAUAAAAAAGAAGAUGUGAUAUGAUUUCCAAUGAGACAACUCUCCACAAG
rnacentral:lncRNA from 1 species